rnacentral:rRNA from 1 species
UACAGAGGUCUCAAGCGUUGUUCGGAUUCAUUGGGCGUAAAGGGUGCGUAGGCGGCGCGGUAAGUCGGGUGUGAAAUCUCGGAGCUUAACUUCGAAACUGCAUUCGAUACUGCCGUGCUUGAGGACUGGAGAGGAGACUGGAAUUUACGGUGUAGCGGUGAAAUGCGUAGAUAUCGUAAGGAAGACCAGUGGCGAAGGCGGGUCUCUGGACAGUUCCUGACGCUGAGGCACGAAGGCCAGGGGAGGCAAACGGG